rnacentral:rRNA from 1 species
GUUUGACCUCGGAUCAGGUAGGUACCCGCUGAACUUAA